rnacentral:rRNA from 1 species
GAUGAACGCUAGCUGGAGGCUUAAUACAUGCAAGUCGAGCGGGAUUGGGUAGCAAUACCCAUGAGAGCGGCGCACGGGUGAGUAACGCGUACACGACCUACCUCUAACAGGGGGAUAGCCCUGGGAAACUGGGAUUAAUACCGCAUAUUAUUCUGAAUAAUAAAGGUUUGGAAUGAAAGCUGAGGCGGUUAGAGAUGGGUGUGGGUCUGAUUAGCUAGUUGGUAGGGUAACGGCCUACCAAGGCGAUGAUCAGUAGGGGGCGUGAGAGCGUGGUCCCCCACACGGGUACUGAGACACGGACCCGACUCCUACGGGAGGCAGCAGUAAGGAAUAUUGGUCAAUGGGCGAAAGCCUGAACCAGCCAUCCAGCGUGCAGGAAGAAGGCCCUAUGGGUUGUAAACUGCUUUUAUCAGGGAAGAAACCUCUGGAUUUACUCCGGAGCUGACGGUACCUGAAGAAUAAGCACCGGCUAACUCCGUGCCAGCAGCCGCGGUAAAAC